UACGAAGGGGGCUAGCGUUGCUCGGAAUCACUGGGCGUAAAGCGCACGUAGGCGGGUCCUUAAGUCAGGGGUGAAAUCCCGGAGCUCAACUCCGGAACUGCCUUUGAUACUGGGGAUCUUGAGUCCGGAAGAGGUGAGUGGAACUCCGAGUGUAGAGGUGAAAUUCGUAGAUAUUCGGAAGAACACCGGUGGCGAAGGCGGCCAUCUGGCCCACAAUUGACGCUGAGGCGCGAAAGCGUGGGGAGCAAACAGG
rnacentral:rRNA from 1 species